UCUACCUAGUAGUGGGGGAUAGCCCGGGGAAACUCGGAUUAAUACCGCAUACGUUCUUUGGAAGAAAGGGGGCUUCGGCUCUCGCUAUUAGAUGAGCCUGCGUGGGAUUAGCUAGUUGGUAGGGUAAAGGCCUACCAAGGCGACGAUCUCUAGCUGGUCUGAGAGGAUGAUCAGCCACACUGGGACUGAGACACGGCCCAGACUCCUACGGGAGGCAGCAGUGGAGAAUAUUGCACAAUGGGGGAAACCCUGAUGCAGCCAUGCCGCGUGUGUGAAGAAGGCUUUCGGGUUGUAAAGCACUUUCAGUGGUGAGGAAGGCUUCGUAGUUAAUACCUGCGAAGAUGGACGUUAUCCACAGAAGAAGCACCGGCUAACUCCGUGCCAGCAGCCGCGGUAAUACGGAGGGUGCGAGCGUUAAUCGGAAUUACUGGGCGUAAAGCGCGCGUAGGUGGUUAGUUAAGCGAGAUGUGAAAGCCCUG
rnacentral:rRNA from 1 species